ACCCGCACAAGCGGUGGAUGAUGUGAAUUAAUUCGAUGCAACGCCGAAGAACCUUACCUACCCUUGACAUGUCCGGAACUUGCCAGAGAUGGCUUGGUGCCCGAAAGGGAAUCGGAACACAGGUGCUGCGUGGCUGUCGUCAGCUCGUGUCGUGAGAUGUUGGGUUAAGUCCCGCAACGAGCGCAACCCUUAUCAUUAGUUGCUACGCAAGGGCACUCUAAUGAGACUGCCGGUGACAAACCGGAGGAAGGUGGGAUGACGUCAAGUCCUCAUGGCCCUUAUGGGUAGGGCUUCACACGCCAUACAAUGGUCGGUACAGAGGGUUGCCAAGCCGCGAGGUGGAGCCAAUCUCAGAAAGCCGAUCGUAGUCCGGAUUGUUCUCUGCAACUCGAGAGCAUGAAGUCGGAAUCGCUAGUAAUCGCAGAUCAGCAUGUCGCGGUGAAUACGUUCCCGGGUCUU
rnacentral:rRNA from 1 species